GACUACAGAAGGGUAUGCACCGUGGGCAUAUUGCAUUCAUUUGCUUCUGUCUAUUUUCGCUCAUUGUUUUCUGAUAGGGUUUGCCCCGGAUUGGGAUGUUUCUGAAGUAGGAGGUGUGAAUUUUAUUUAGACGUCCUAGAAUGCACAAGAAAUCCGAAACCAGGAAAAAGACAGUCAAGGAUUCUGAUAUGCCAAAGUGACCACCUUCUCCGUACUUCAUCUUCAUGUAAGCCCUGACGACUGACGCUUGUCUUCUAGAUCUCCUCUAUUCUGGAAGUGGUGUUUGAUGAUCUCGAUUUCUAGUUUUAAAGGAGUGUACUCACAUUUCUACCUUUUUUUUUAAUUGGUUGCAGGGAGACCUUCCGGUCUCUGAGAAAAGAAGGGGUUACUGCGGGAAAUUUUCGAAGGCCCCUUCACUCCUUUGAAGCACCUAAUUCAAAUCUGGGUCUUCGCGCUGAGUACGGGAUGUGUUUGUUGUCGUUUUCGCAUGUAGCAUCUUUUGCUUAUGAUGCGCCUCUUCAGUGGAUAAACCAGAGUUCAAUUCAAGCUCUGUAGCAAGAACAGUGAUGUUGAUAACUUGAUCAAAAUUUCAGAGCGCUAAAAGCGGUGCCGAGAGGUGGCCCAACAUGUCAGACGAGGUCAGUGGUGUUACUCGUAUUAGAAAUCGUAUCGAACCUGAAGCGAAUCAUUUGUGGACUAUCUGUCGACAGGUUUGCCUUGCUCGUUCUUUCCGAUAUUGUGGAGAAGAAAGCACCUUUCGUUGCUGAGGUCGCAGCAAGGAAAGGCAAGUAUGAGCUAGCGAUGACAGCCUGCAAAGUAUGCACAAAUUAGACACUACCUUCCCAGCUUUGAGAAUAUUGUUAAACUCAAAUUAUCCAAAGUCGAAUUAUGCAUUUUCUGUUCUCUGAUGUUUUUUAAUUCUCAAUUUUCUGAUCUAUUUCUGUUGUACGUGGUUCUUUUUUUUAUAUUUUAUUUUGGGUUUCUCGUUUUGUAACAGAAGUUUGAAAGUCAGUUUGGAAACUCCAAUUCUGUCAAACUCAUUUUUAUAAUGUGAUUAGCACUUGGCAUGGCUGGAUACUCACAACGGUUAUCAUGUGCCUCAUUCCAGAAUAGCAAAGCCUUAGAGUCCUCUGCGUAGCUUACGCACCAGACGAAGUCCUCCAGCCUAAAAUGACGUUACGAUUCCCGUCUUAUCGAAAACCGAAGACAAAUUUAACGCAUGUACAUCUGUGCGCCAAGAAUCAUGGUUAUGCGACUGUGAUGCAAUCAUAGAUUUGUUUCUUCCAGUUAAUUAUAGCGUAGGAGCAGAAUUGGAGAUUUUCCACUUUCGGACGUUCACAAUGCACACUGCAUAUGUUAGCUGUGUCUUUUGGGCAUUAUUUAUGUUCUAAGGGAGGAUUUGAUGGUUAAUGUGCAGCAUAGCAUUCGUGUAAUGAUGAAGUUAUCGAUUUAAUCCCAUGUAUCGAAAGCGAAGCUUGGGGUCGGAAUUGUGUGCAAGUGUGCAUAGAGUAAUGAGGUGGUUUGGGACCAGGGCAGGGAAUGACGACGCGUGCUAACCGUGUCAUGGCAAAUACAUUGGAUGUCACAUAGAUUGCGAUUGGGACUGUCUGUGUACACCGCUGUGAUGGUAGACGGAAUGUGAAGUGAUGUACAAGUUGGUGCUGCGGUGUUCAUCAUGCCCAGUUGCUUCUUUUUUAUGACUUUCUCUUACAGUGCAAACCGCUCACCCUGCAAGUUCCCA
rnacentral:lncRNA from 1 species